CACCUCUGUGAUUGAAUAAAGUUUGGUGUAGUCAAAGGAGAAAUGUGCUACACGAACUGCAAUGUGUUACUUCACAGCACCGUAAAAACGAGCCAAUGAAAACGAGCCAAACCCCUGUAGGAUUCAGAGUGGCAGCGAACACACUAAGACAAACCAAAACCUUUCUUACUUUGCAGUUCGCAGCGCUGGAGGACGGACGUCUGACAUGAUCGCUCUCUACAUUUAGAUGAGUUCCCAGCGCUGGUGCGAGGUGUUUCUGCAGGCUGGUUGUGGAACUCAGCAACAAAGCGGAGCAGCGGUGAACCGUCGUUCACGAAGCAUUGCGUGCAGCACAAACCCCUGAGGGCCCGCCAAGUAAUUCAGUAAAAAGGCAGGUCUCCACUUCCUGCCGUUGUGAUCGUCCGGUGCAGUCACCUCCCCCCUCAGCUGUGCCCAGUCCCCUGUCCUGUUGCCGGUCCGUCUUCGUUCCCAUGUGAGCGUUCCAGCAAUUUGGACAUUGUUCGUUUUGACAGCGUGUGUGCCACCAUCGUCACUAACAGAGGACAGCACCUCGUGUCCUUGAUGGAAGCUAAGGCCUCGACAGCAUGAGCACAUUAUUCACACACACGUACCUGCUUGAAUACCUUUUAUUUUCCACUGGGAGAACUAAAAUGUUCGUCCAACGGGACGGAUCAAGACAGAAAAAUACUUUAAAAACCUUUUUAACAGUGUAAUCAUAUCCAAAUAUGGUGAUAGGGCGGUUACUGUGUACAUUAUACUGUAUUCAUUAUUCAUCACCCUGGAUAAGUGCGAGUAGAUUAAUGGUAAUAAGACCAGCCCCCAUCUUUCAAUCAAUCACUUGUGUCGUGACGAGACUCCUCAAAUUUCUUUUACACGUUAUAUAGUGUAUAUUUUUGUAAAGAGUCGUCUGCAUAGGCAGCUGUUUCAAAUCACAGGAUAUUCAUACUUUCUACACGUUUUAAACAUUAACUGUGCGUAUGAAAGAUUAAACACGAUCACUGCAGGCAUAUAGAGCAAAGGUGAGCGAGAGGAAUUAAUAAUGGAAUCAAUAAAUAAUCGAUGCCG